GAAAGCCGCGAAGCGGCCCUGCCCCUUAAGGGAGAGGAGCUGCGGGGACCAAACGACGCUUCCCAGGGUAGCGGGAGUUUCAGGGACCACUGCAGAAGCCAGAUUCAGAGGAUGGGUUCUGGAGAAGGAAGAAGAAGAAUUAGUGCAUGGACCAUUUUAUGCUUGAGAUGCUCUUCCUCAAUAGCUGGAAAAAAAAUUCAAGCUAAGUACUAUGAUUGGACCUGUCGAAAGGAAAAUAUGAUCUUUGUUGCUAAACAUGUAUGCUUGAAGUGGCCAACUUAUAUGAAAAAUACCUUUGGACUUCCCUCAUGGUCCAGUGGUUAAGAACUCACCUGCCAAUGUAGAGGACAUGGGUUUGAUCUCUGGUCUGGGAAGAUUCCACAUGCUGCAGAGCAACUAAGCCCAUGAGCCACAACUACUGAAGCCUGCUGCCGAGAGCCCAUGCUCCACAAUAAGUGAAGCCACUGCAGUGAGAAACCUGCC